rnacentral:rRNA from 1 species
CCUACGGGUGACAGCAGUCGAGAAUCAUUCACAAUGGGGGAAACCCUGAUGGUGCGACGCCGCGUGGGGGAAUGAAGGUCUUCGGAUUGUAAACCCCUGUCAUGUGGGAGCAAAUUAAAAAGAUCGUACCACAAGAGGAAGAGACGGCUAACUCUGUGCCAGCAGCCGCGGUAAUACAGAGGUCUCAAGCGUUGUUCGGAAUCACUGGGCGUAAGGCGUGCGUAGGCUGUUUCGUAAGUCGUGUGUGAAAGGCGCGGGCUCAACCCGCGGACGGCACAUGAUACUGCGAGACUAGAGUAAUGGAGGGGGAACCGGAAUGCUCGGUGUAGCAGUGAAAUGCGUAGAUAUCGAGAGGAACACUCGUGGCGAAGGCGGGUUCCUGGACAUUAACUGACGCUGAGGCACGAAGGCCAGGGGAGCGAAAGGGAUUAGAUACCCUUGUAGUC